CACCUCUCAGGAUCUCAUCUGGAGAGUUUCUCAUACUCUACCAGUCUCGAUUUGGGGAGAGAGAGUCAAGCAGAGGCCUAUCCAUUCCAUUCUUAGCUUGGGCAGUGGCUAGCGAAUGGAAGGCAAUCUGCUACAAGU
rfam:Ornithorhynchus anatinus chromosome 4, whole genome shotgun sequence.